CUGCUAAUACCGAAUACGAUCUUUUCGUCGCAUGACGGAAAGAAGAAAAAGGAUGGCCUCUAUACAAAGCUAUCGCCGAAGGAGGGGUUUGCGUCUGAUUAGCUGGUUGGAGGGUAACGGCCAACAAGGCGAUGAUCAGUAGCCGGUCUGAGAGGAUGAACGGCCACAUUGGGACUGAGACACGGCCCAGACUCCUACGGGAGGCAGCAGUGGGGAAUCUUCCGCAAUGGACGAAAGUCUGACGGAGCAACGCCGCGUGAGUGAAGAAGGUCUUCGGAUUGUAAAGCUCCGUUAUACGGGACGAAAAAGACGGAUGCCAACAGUAUCCGUCCGUGACGGUACCGUAAGAGAAAGCCACGGCUAACUACGUGCCAGCAGCCGCGGUAAAU
rnacentral:rRNA from 1 species